GAUCUAGUAAAUAUUUUUUUAUUUAAAAAUUUUUUAAAAUAUUUAUGGGGAGUAAUACGCUUUCGUCUUUUAAGAUAUCUAACUUUGAAUAAAUUAAUAGGGAAACCUUAUGAAUCUUUUUGUUUGAUCUUUUUUAUUUUCUGUUUUAGAAGUAAAUUAAUGUGUAAUAACUUUUGGCUUGUAAAUAAAAGUUUUUUAUCUUAAAAUAUUAAGAAAUUAAUUAAUAGAUUAGUAGAAAUGUAAUUUUGCCAGUUUAUUUUAAAGUUUAUUAUCUUUUUAAAGUUAUAAGAAAUUACUGAUUUUUUUUUAGACUGGUUAAUAAAAUCUUAGUCACAAAUUUUGUGAUUAUUUCUGCUCCAUGCAAGAUUUGUAGUAAAUAGCUGUUUUUGACACACUAAGGUAGCAAAAUCAUUAGUUGCUUAAUUGGUAACUUGUAUGAAUGAAUUUUCUAAGAAAAUAUUCUUUUUCUUAUUGAAUUUAUAAAUUUGUUGAAAAUAACAAUAUUCCCCCAUAAGACUAAAAGACCCUAAAAUUUUUAUAACCUUUCAUGAAGGUUAUUUGAUUGGGGUAAUAAUAAAAAAUAAAUAUUAAAUAAUUUAUUUUUUUUUGAACUUUUUUUAUUGAAAAAAAGAAAAAUACUUUAGGGAUAACAGCUUAAUUGUCCCUAAAAGCUCUUAUUACUAGGACAGUUUUAGACCUCGAUGUUGGAUUGAAAAAACUUUUUGGGGCAG
rnacentral:rRNA from 1 species